rnacentral:rRNA from 1 species
AAUCAACGCUGGCGGCGUGCCUAACACAUGCAAGUCGCACGAGAAAGGGACUUCGGUCCUGAGUACAGUGGCGCACGGGUGAGUAACACGUGAAUCAUCUACCUUCGAGUGGGGAAUAACUGAGAGAAAUCUUAGCUAAUACCGCAUAAUACCUACGGGUCAAAGCAGCAAUGCGCUUGAAGAGGAGUUCGCGGCAGAUUAGUUAGUUGGCAGGGUAAUGGCCUACCAAGACGAUGAUCUGUAUCCGGCCUGAGAGGGCGCACGGACACACUGGAACUGAAACACGGUCCAGACUCCUACGGGAGGCAGCAGUGGGGAAUUUUGCGCAAUGGGGGAAACCCUGACGCAGCAACGCCGCGUGGAGGAUGAAAUCCCUUGGGAUGU